rnacentral:rRNA from 1 species
CCGGAGCUUGCUCCACCGGAAAAAGAGGAGUGGCGAACUGGUGAGUAACACGUGGGUAACCUGCCCAUCAGAAGGGGAUAACACUUGGAAACAGGUGCUAAUACCGUAUAACAAUCGAAACCGCAUGGUUUUGAUUUGAAAGGCGCUUUCGGGUGUCGCUGAUGGAUGGACCCGCGGUGCAUUAGCUAGUUGGUGAGUAAUGGCUCACCAAGGCGACGAUGCAUAGCCGACCUGAGAGGGUGAUCGGCCACAUUGGGACUGAGACACGGCCCAAACUCCUACGGGAGGCAGCAGUAGGGAAUCUUCGGCAAUGGACGAAAGUCUGACCGACUAACGCGCGUGAGUGAAGAAGGUUUUCGGAUCGUAAAACUCUGUUGUUAGAGAAGAACAAGGAUGAGAGUAACUGUUCAUCCCUUGACGGUAUCUAACCAGAAAGCCACGGCUAACUACGUGCCAGCAGCCGCGGUAAUACGUAGGUGGCAAGCGUUGUCCGGAUUUAUUAGGCGUAAAGCGAGCGCAGGCGGUUUCUUAAGUCUGAUGUGAAAGCCCC